rnacentral:rRNA from 1 species
CAAUAGCGUAUAUUAAAGUUGUUGCAGUUAAAAAGCUCGUAGUUGGAUUUGUGGUGUGUCCAGUCGGCCUUUGCUCUCUGAGUGAUUGUGCUGUACUGGUCUGCCAUGUUUGGGUGGAAUCUGUGUGGCAUUAAGUUGUCGUGCAGGGGAUGCCCAUCGUUUACUGUGAAAAAAUUAGAGUGUUCAAAGCAGGCUUAUGCCGUUGAAUAUAUUAGCAUGGAAUAAUGAUAUAGGACCUUGGUACUAUUUUGUUGGUUUGCGCACUAAGGUAAUGAUUAAGAGGGACAGUUGGGGGUAUUUGUAUUCCAUUGUCAGAGGUGAAAUUCUUAGAUUUUUGGAAGACAAACUACUGCGAANGNAUUUACNAAGGAUGUUUNCAUUA